rnacentral:rRNA from 1 species
AACUUGUAACGGUGGAUCUCUUGGCUCGUGCAUCGAUGAAGAACGCAGCCAGCUGCGAUAAGUAGUGUGAAUUGCAGAACUCAGCGAAUCAUCGAAUCUUUGAACGCAA